rnacentral:rRNA from 1 species
UACGUAGGUGGCAAGCGUUGUCCGGAUUUACUGGGCGUAAAGAGCGCGCAGGCGGCUGGUCAAGUCCGAUGUGAAAUCUCCCGGCUCAACUGGGAGGGUGCAUCGAAAACUGGGGUGCUCGAGGGUGGGAGAGGUAAGCGGAAUUCCUGGUGUAGCGGUGAAAUGCGUAGAUAUCAGGAGGAACACCUGUGGUGUAGACAGCUUACUGGACCACUUCUGACGCUGAGACACGAAAGCGUGGGUAGCAAACAGG